GCUGGGUGUGAUGGUGCACACCUGUAAUCCCAGCAGCUCCGGAGGCUAAAGCAGGAGGAUCACGAGUUCAAAGCCAGCUCUGCAAUGGCGAGGCACUAAGCAACUCAGUGAGACCCUGUUUCUA
rnacentral:sRNA from 1 species